GUCGAGCGGUGAAGAGGAGCUUGCUCCUUGGAUCAGUGGCGAACGGGUGAGUAACACGUGAGCAAUCUGCCCUUGACUCUGGGAUAACUGCGGGAAACUGUAGCUAAUACCGGAUAUUACCUUGGAAGGCAUCUUCUGGGGUGGAAAGAAUUUUGGUCAAGGAUGAGCUCGCGGCCUAUCAGCUAGUUGGUGAGGUAAUGGCUCACCAAGGCGACGACGGGUAGCCGGCCUGAGAGGGUGACCGGCCACACUGGGACUGAGACACGGCCCAGACUCCUACGGGAGGCAGCAGUGGGGAAUAUUGCACAAUGGGCGCAAGCCUGAUGCAGCAACGCCGCGUGAGGGACGAAGGCCUUCGGGUUGUAAACCUCUUUUAGUAGGGAAGAAGCGACUGGGUUUUCCUGGAAGUGACGGUACCUGCAGAAAAAGCACCGGCUAACUACGUGCCAGCAGCCGCGGUAAUACGUAGGGUGCAAGCGUUGUCCGGAAUUAUUGGGCGUAAAGAGCUCGUAGGCGGUUUGUCGCGUCUGCUGUGAAAACCCGAGGCUCAACCUCGGGCCUGCAGUGGGUACGGGCAGACUAGAGUGCGGUAGGGGAGAUUGGAAUUCCUGGUGUAGCGGUGGAAUGCGCAGAUAUCAGGAGGAACACCAAUGGCGAAGGCAGAUCUCUGGGCCGUAACUGACGCUGAGGAGCGAAAGCAUGGGGAGCG
rnacentral:rRNA from 1 species